rnacentral:ncRNA from 1 species
GUCCAACUAUAUGUUCACGGCCAGAGCCCGCGGUGUCAGGGAAGCCGGUGUGAAUCCGGCGCGGUCCCGCCACUGUGACCGGGUAGUGCGUCGUCGAAGCAACGCCACUGACGGGUGUGAACGUCGGGAAGGCAGACGGCGCGCGGCGAUCCGGGAGCCAGGAUACCGGCCGUGGGGUGUUCCGUGUU